rnacentral:rRNA from 1 species
GACGAACCGUGCGAACGUUAUUCGGAAUCACUGGGCUUAAAGCGCGUGUAGGCGGGAGGGCACGUCCGUCGCUGAAAUCCCCCGGCUCAACCGGGGAACGGGCGCGGAUACGACCUUCCUGGAGGGGCGUAGGGGGACCUGGAACUUCCGGUGGAGCGGUGAAAUGCGUUGAGAUCGGAAGGAACGCCCGUGGCGAAAGCGAGGUCCUGGACGCCUACUGACGCUGAGACGCGAAAGCUAGGGGAGCAAACAGG